rnacentral:sRNA from 1 species
GGACAAAGAGGCAGGGUGGGGUUAGCCAGGGCUGUCAUUGCUCACAGGAAGUCACAGUGAGGUUUAGAGUAGAACCCCCUGUCAGAGUACAUGAUUCUAGAGUCCCUGUGAGUUUGAGCAGUUAACAGCCUAUACAACUGUAUGUGUUAGCUUCGGGGUUGCUAUCUGUUCCCUGUAGGGAGCUGUCUUCCCCCAACACCCAGAAUUUCACUACAUUGCUGCCCCGGUCAGUCUUGAAGUUUUAUCCCUCUGCUUCCAUUUCUCCAGUGCUGGGGACUAAGACAGUAGCUGAGGACACUGAACUCUUGAUCCUCUGACCUCUACCUGCCAGACGCUGGGGUUACAGCUGCGUGCCACCAACACUUUUAUGACGUCUACGAGCCAUCUGUGUGAGUGCUAUUGGCUUGUCAAGCUUUGUAAAUGUUGGAUUGUGACUCUGCAUGAGGCGCUGUAACAGAAUGUUGGAGUUGCAAAAGAACCGGCAGCAGCCAGGGUUUCUGUAUAUACAACAACGUAAACUAGUUACCAAUCAAACAUGUAAGAAAUACGAAGUGUUCCUGGUAAAAAAAAAAGGGGGGGGGUAGCUGUUGAGGGGAGAAAGGGCAAAAAGCUCAGGUCUAAGCGUGUGCUCUCCUCUCUCUUAUCCACAGACCUGGGUCAGUUCGUCCCUCUCUAGAUAGCCUUCAGUUCAGGACCCCGGACACUGGCCCUAAACUACCAACAGUGACUUUAGCCAUCCUGCUGAUGACUGUUGUAAAGAUAUGUGUCUGAGCUCUGGCAACAAGAUGGGAUUCUCCUUAGGGCUCUGGAUCUGCUCCCGAAGCUGCCUCAACUCCUGCCACGU